rnacentral:lncRNA from 1 species
UUAAAAUGAAAUUUAAAUUCCUCCCAAAUGCCACCGAGAACAGUUUGUUACGAAUUCACAAGUUAGUUAAUGAAAUAAAAUCUAUUCUUCAUUUGCAAUGCUUGAAAUUUUUUGAAUGAAAUAGUUAAGGAUUAAAACGAGUUGUUUGGACUGUUUGGCUUAUCAUGGUGAUGAUAUUAUGAAUUAGGAGCCAUUGUUAGAAAAAUUCAUGAAUCUGCUAUCAGGACAGGAUGCGACAUUAGUAUAAAUACCACGUUUAGUCAUUAAGUUAACCGCACUUAAGCCGAAUCCCAUGCCGCCUUACCACAUUUUCUCUAUUUUGUCUAUCAUGCUUUGAAAAUGCUUGAAUUGAACUGCCAAUGAAUUGAUGUUGGCGUCGUGCUUGAUUUUCUUACGGAAUAUUAGUGUGAACUUGUUAUACUAGCAUGUUUGAUCGGUUCCCUUCUAUUGUAUGUGUGCAUGAUUGUGUAUCUUGGUGUAUGACUAGAGUUUGGCACUUAGAAACUUAACAAUCACUUCCAACAUCUUUGUGCAACAGGUUGUUUAGUGAGCAGCUUUCAUGACGACCGGUUGAUGGCUAAGGCGACCAACGUCGGCAGACCUAGAACGGAUUUGUUGGCCGAGCCUUUUAUGCUUCUCAAGUUAUCAAGGCAGCAAUCGAGACUUCUUUAAAGUACACAAGAAAACCGAUUUUCCAGCUGCUUCAUGGGACAUUCUGAACGGCAUACCUUCCGUGACAGGAUAGUCAGCAAGUGUUAUCGUGUAGCUUCGAAAUCAAUGGUUAAUUGAAAUUGGUUAGCUAUGAGAGCCUGCUAUGUGUUAGCAACUAAUAAUGCUUAACUUUAAAAUGCACCGCAUGUUAUUCUUA